rnacentral:rRNA from 1 species
CAGCCGCCGCGGUAACACGAAGGGGGCUAGCGUUGCUCGGAAUUACUGGGCGUAAAGGGAGCGUAGGCGGAUAUUUAAGUCAGGGGUGAAAUCCCGCAGCUCAACUGCGGAACUGCCUUUGAUACUGGGUAUCUUGAGUAUGGAAGAGGUUAGUGGAAUUGCGAGUGUAGAGGUGAAAUUCUUAGAUAUUCGCAGGAACACCAGUGGCGAAGGCGGCUAACUGGUCCAUAACUGACGCUGAGGUGCGAAAGCGUGGGGAGCAAACAGGAUUAGAUACCCGCGUAGUCCCUGUCUCUUAUAC